UUCACGAGACAGGUUACUACAGGACGUGGA
rnacentral:piRNA from 1 species